rnacentral:rRNA from 1 species
CCUACGGGCGGCUGCAGUGGGGAAUAUUGCACAAUGGGCGCAAGCCUGAUGCAGCCAUGCCGCGUGUGUGAAGAAGGCCUUCGGGUUGUAAAGCACUUUCAGCGGGGAGGAAGGCGGUGAGGUUAAUAACCUCAUCGAUUGACGUUACCCGCAGAAGAAGCACCGGCUAACUCCGUGCCGGCAGCCGCGGUAAUACGGAGGGUGCAAGCGUUAAUCGGAAUUACUGGGCGUAAAGCGCACGCAGGCGGUCUGUCAAGUCGGAUGUGAAAUCCCCGGGCUCAACCUGGGAACUGCAUUCGAAACUGGCAGGCUAGAGUCUUGUAGAGGGGGGUAGAAUUCCAGGUGUAGCGGUGAAAUGCGUAGAGAUCUGGAGGAAUACCGGUGGCGAAGGCGGCCCCCUGGACAAAGACUGACGCUCAGGUGCGAAAGCGUGGGGAGCAAACAGGAUUAGAUACCCCAGUAGUC